GACACGUGGCAUUUUAUGAGACUUUCUAAUUUUUUUUUUCCCGCUUAUGGAUUUUCCUCCUCAAUCGGGUGUUUCUUCGAUCCAAAAAAUCAGGAAUACAUCUUCAGAAUCUUCAAUCAAAUCUUGCCCAAAUUUCGAUCAAUUGAAUCGCUCUACAAUUUAACUUCAAAAUCCUAUAGAACCUACUUUUUCUCCAUCUCCAUCUCAACAUUCGAGGCAAACCAGUUGCCUGUGGCUAGCCCUUCCCUCCCCUUCACAUUCACCGUAACCUCGAUUCAGGUUCUGGUCAACAGAAGUUUUUAGAAGCUUCAGUUGUAGCUUAUGUAUCUGAUAACCCCAUAACGAUAUAGAAAGAGUUACCAAUUGAAGAUGCAAUUAAAGGUUUUAUUCCUUCUACUUCAUAUAAGAUGAAGCUUUCUACCGUUAUGGGAUACACUAACAGGGGCAAAAUAUUAUACAUUCUAGAUCAUGAAGCAACUAUUUAUUUUAUGUCUAAUAUUCAAGGAAAAUAUCCAGGUGUAUCAACAGUUGAUUGGUGCAGCAUGUAAUUUGAAGCGUCCAAAAUCCAAGAUUUUUAUAUCAUUUAUUGAUAAAUCAGAGCAUAUAUGUUAUUGCUUAAUACAGUCAAACAGUUUCUGAUCGAGUCCCUUAUUAUCACAUUCCAUUCCUCGAAAAGCUUAACCAAAAUUCCCAACUUUUCAAAUUUAUUAUACCAAGUAUGCCCCUCUUUUAUACCUUCAUGCCAAUCUUUAAAAUAGUAUAGAUUAACCGAA